rnacentral:rRNA from 1 species
AAAUUGAAGAGUUUGAUCAUGGCUCAGAUUGAACGCUGGCGGCAGGCCUAACACAUGCAAGUCGAGCGGUAACACAGAGAGCUUGCUCUCGGGUGACGAGCGGCGGACGGGUGAGUAAUGUCUGGGAAACUGCCUGAUGGAGGGGGAUAACUACUGGAAACGGUAGCUAAUACCGCAUAACGUCGCAAGACCAAAGUGGGGGACCUUCGGGCCUCAUGCCAUCAGAUGUGCCCAGAUGGGAUUAGCUAGUAGGUGGGGUAACGGCUCACCUAGGCGACGAUCCCUAGCUGGUCUGAGAGGAUGA